rnacentral:misc_RNA from 1 species
AAGAGACGUUGCCCUUCGGGGUCGACCUCCCACCCUAUGUUUAUCAUACCUCUGUUGCUUUGGCAGGCCCGUCCUCGGACCGCCGGCUCCGGCCGGCCCGUGCCUGCCAGGGAACCUAAAACUCUUGUUAAUAAUAUUGUCUGAGUACUAUAUAAUAGUUA